UUGGUGGCUUGUGCACUCCAUUGGAAAGGUGGAUAGAUUUUUUCCAUAAGAACUCUGCAGUGUAUGAUAAAGGACUUUAGUUGAACUUUAAGAAGCACGGUGGGCUUGGUAAAAAACCGCAAUGGUGGAAAUGCAGCUGUGGUCUUUGGGAGUGUCAGAAAUAAUCGAUAUCGUAUUUUCUCUGCUGGCAAAAGCAAAGAAAUACCUGUGAAAGACCUGUUAGAAAAUACUACAAAGAAUCCAAUUCCGCUCUGCGCCUGAUGAUUACUUCCAAAUUCGUAGCUUUUUCCAUCUAUUUGCCUAAGCUGUAUUUCAAAUAAAUUUUUAUGUUAUGACAAAAGGUUUUUAAUACAAAUAAAUAAUAUAUUUUGUAGUGGCGCCCAUUUUCAACCCUUCUCUCAUUACAUAAUUCUUUCCUCGCCUUGUAGUUGUGACAGAAAUCAACCCUUGAUUUGGUAUAUUUCCAUUCUUCGCUCAUCUCUCCGCUUUUAUUUUCCUUGCAACUGUUCGGAUUUCUUGCAAACCAACCGACAAAUGAGGUACAUUGAAUGCGCUUUUUGCAGCGCCGACUUUUUUCACGACUCGCCUGCUGCUACUUCUACUUCCAUUGCUCAAGCUUGUUGUUUGACAUUUUUCCACAUUAAAUAUAACAAUUCUUUUCUUUCAUAUUUCAAAA